AUGGGUCCUGGAUCCGCCCCUGGCCGGCCGAUUUCUCUAAUCUGCUCUCCCUGCCGCGUCCGCAGGAGGGAUUGGGCGAAUCUCUCUGACGGGCCUAUGGGGAUUAUCGCCGAGCGUGUCCUCGCCUACGACAUCGCCGACUUCCUCCGCUUCCGUGCCGUGUGCCGUCCGUGGCGGCGAAUCUCCAUGGACCCACGCGCGCACGGCGGCCUAGACCGCCGGUUCCAUCCCCGUCGGUGGGUCCUGCUCCGAGAACGGCUCGCCACGCCCAACCGCAGGCGCUUCCUAAAUUCCUCCACCGGCGAGUGCAUCCACGUGGACAUCCCUGAGCUCCGUGAGCACGAGGUGCUCGCCCUCACCCCCGAGGGCCUACUCGUGUUGCUCCAUAACCAAUAUCACGUCCGCCUGCUCAACCCGCUCACCAGCCAACUCAUGCAGCUCCCGCCGAUCACCAUGCUGCUGCCUUCUGAGGACCACCACAGGCUUUCAGAUCGCUACAAUUUCGGGACCAACUUCGCAGCGUGGGGCUCCGGCAUUGCAGACGAUGAUUCAACAGUGGUGCUCUGCUUCUACCGGCUCCGCAUGCUUGGCGUUGCCAAGCCUGGCGACGACCGCUGGACGCUGCUCAAGUUCCCUGACCCACUAAGGACGGUACCUCUGAUGUUCUCCGGCCGCUUCUAUUGUGUUAACCUAAAUGGUGUCAUGGUCCUCAGGAUGAGUCCACCACGGCUCGAGGUGGCUGCCAAGCUGCAUAUACAGGUGUCCCGAGAAGGCUAUAGCGCCCACCUCGUGGACAAUGGCGGGGAGCUGAUGUUGGUUCACCGCAGGCGCUGGCACAGGUGGAGUUACGAUGUGUAUCGGGUGGAUUUGGCAACUGGGGAUCUAGUUGCAGUUAAUAGUCUCGGGCGAGAGCGUGCAUUGUUCAUGGGCAUGUAUUGCUCUCUCUCGGUCCCCAUAGAGAUUUUCCCCUCUGGCUCCAUGAGUGGUGACACUAUCUACUUGAGCUUUGACGCUGGUGAGAGGGAUGAUUUUGAGGCUUACCACCUCACAGACAGAAGCAUCACACCUCAUGACGGUUACAAUCUUCGUGAAUCGGUAAUGCUGCCACACACUAUUGUGGACUGCCUCGCCUUGUGCAUUACUGUGGGAUAUGAAGAACACACCAUUGGAUACGGAGAAGACUUGGAUGAUUUUUAA
rnacentral:rRNA from 1 species